AGGGGAAGAUACAGAGUGCAGUAUAUAGUUCUCAGCAUUGUGGCACGUCAGCUUCAGAGACAAAGUCCAAUGUCCGCAAUGGGGUAGAGGUGAAUCGGACUGUGCCCUGGCUUAUGGAAGAACCGAGCAGGAGCCUGAUAAAAGAGGGUAAGAAGCUGUGAGGGUAGACACAAAGUGCUGGAGUAACUCACUGGGUCAG